UUCAAGACAGAACACUUCCUCCACUUUGGUCACUUGUUCUGAAAGGUCUUUGCCUUUCAACCUGAUGAGAAGAGGCAGAAAAUCUUCACUGAACAGAACAGACACUCUAACUGCAGUCUUUAAUCGAGACAGGAAGAACAAACAGACUGCAGAUGCAGUAAUUCGUUCUGUACACCACACAGAAAAUACACCAACAUCCUUGCAGCUCCUCUUUCCAGAACAUUUUGGGACUGGCUGCAUAGCAAGGCAUGGAUAUGGCUUUAGAAAAGGCAGCAGGGCUGGAACUCCCACUGGUAAACUGAAGUCUCCCUCUGCAGCCUCUCUGACAGCACCUCUCAGCGUGCACAAGAUUAAACUUUAAAUUGGAUUCCCACCUCCCAGCACGAAGAAAUGGAAAUGUUUACUGAGUCACUCAGCAGCAAUUGCAGAGAGAGCGGUUGAGGGAGGCUGUCAGUGUCCAGGGAGGUACACUGUUUUCCUCGGCACAGAUGAGCAUAAACAGUUUAGCUAAAAAGGUGACAACGCAUCAAGUGCAUCUGCACUGAGAACAGACACACCUUUGGAUAGAAUUCCUGGCAAAAGCCAUAACAUCCUCCUGCAAAAUCCCUUCCACACACCUGCUGUGCUGCCCGAGAUGCUUUAACUCGCUUCUUUAUACACAGAUCUACACUGAUGCCGUUUCCCUCUUAGACACUCUUAGCCAACAGGCAGCAAGAAACCCAAGUGAGAGCCAUCAGAGGAACUGGACUAAAGGGGAUUUUAUUUUUUAAGCUACUAAUUCAUUCUGUGUUUGCCAUGAAUAACCUAUUAGUUGAAGGCGUUUUCUCAAUUUACUACUGCACAGCUCACAAAGUGCUGUCUCUGGUUACUGGAUUCUACAGUAGCUGGAGACACGCUGUUGUUUCCCACCCCCUUGUUUUAUUUACAACCCAAAUUCCAUGAAAAUACUUUAAAUAUGCAGCAGAAGAACCCAGUGAGAGCUCAUUUUCAGUUCUGCCUCUCAGACUAGCACCUAGACAAAUAAUCUCACAUAGCAUUUGCUACAAGCAGGUUUUGAAGCGUGCUGAACUCCCUCUGAUGCUGCGCAGACGGCCUGGAAGUGAAUCCAUGUGGAGAGCUAAUUAUGAAAACCAGAAAAUGGGAGGAUUUUGUACCACACAGCUCCUAACAUGAGCACUGUUCCUCUGUAAAAAUAGGAACUCGAAAACUCUGGAUCCCAGCCCACCUGCAAAUCCAAGCCUGUCACUAAGGAAACUACGUCCUGUCCUGGGAAUCUGCCACACACCAAUAAUCAAAGCAGUAGACACUGUCUGAUCCUUAGAUCACUGCAGCUUUUCAGCUAACAUCAAGCAGUGGGAAUUCAUACAGGUAUACCCACCAACUCCAGCAUUACUACUGUUACAAUUCAUUUAAUCAGAGAUACGUUUAGCAAUGUUAAAAAUGCAGACAAAUGUUAGGCUUCAGAGUUAACACAGUCUGGAGGCAGCCCACACUUCCCAGAGGAAGAUAAUGAUGUCUGCAGACUCUGGAUAACAGCCCUCCAUUAGGGAAUGGCCCAAAUGUUGUAUUUCUUUACCUGAAAAAAAUUGUAUUUUUCUUGAUUUCUCAUGUACUGAAGAAGACUGCUAGCUGAGAAACUAAAGAGAAAAAAAACCCCACUGAUGACUGACCAACAGCCUACGACAGCAGUCAUUUCAACAUGUACUGUGUGUUCUGCCAGAAAGACAACUGACACUGAAGAUACCAUGCAACAAUCCAUUUUCCUCUCCUUCUCAUCAGGACUUGCUCCAAAGCAUUUCAAAGCAUGGGUGAUGUUACCUACUGAUGAGAGUGCUUUGCUGUCUAAUAAACCCUGUGGUCAAAGGAUGCAGUUUCAGACAAUACUGAAGCUCUGUCUCCAGUAACUGUGCUAAAGAAAAGUUUUCUUGAGGAAAGUGGCUCCACGGGCAAAUUGAAGCAGCACGUUGAUGUCCCAGGACCAUGGGCAGGACACCAGGACUGCCACAUCUAAACCCUGCAGGAAGCACAACACAACCUUUGAUAGCCCCGACCUCAGAGGUACAGUUCAUCUGGAAGACAGCAUGUCCAUGAAUGCAAUGUCCUGCAGUGCAAGCCUGGGCAACAGGCUCCCCAGGAGUGAGCUCAGUUGCCAGUUUUUGCUGCGGGGCUGUACUUUUCACUUGGAAGCUUGCCCAGCAAUCCGUGACAAAGCCAGACCCAGACUGUCUUCUGAAAUCUAACGAGGUAUGGCAGCUUUUAGGGCACAACCAAAGAGGAUGUCAAAUUAUCUCUCAGCCGAUACCCAGAAACGUAAUUUAGUGGGCUUCUACUUACCAUAUUCCUAAAUCCUUGUUACUGUUUAGUAUCCAGUGCAGGGCAGCUUCAAACUUCUGUGGGGAACUACCAGUUAUGUUCUGGACAGAAGAACCCAUAAAAAGAUUAGUUCUCCAUUCAUUUAAAAUACCAAGUGACAUUACUUCAUUACAGUAGUUUCAUUCUAUAGGGUCUGUCCCUGGGUUAAUUCUUAUCAUAAUUCUGCAAACUGAAGGAAGGAAAACCAAAUCUGAAGGUCUGCCCGGACUAAAGUCUUCUGACUACAGUAGGUGAUGCAUGAAGCACUCUGUGAAAUAACACUAGCCCAGACCGUUAAGACUAACCACUAAAUACAACAUAAUCUUGCUGACAGUUUACCAUGAAAGAAAUGGAAUACUAGAUCAAAGCAGUCUGUCUUCUGACACUCUGGGGUAUAGAAAAAUCCUUCUUCUGCCCAGCCCUCAAUCCAAGGAAAAUUCUGGUUUCAGAAGACUGAUGACUAUGGUGAAACAACAAACCAUUAAGUUAGAUUUACAGGGGCUGAACCAGAGAUGUAGGAGAUUAUUCAAAAGAACUGCUGAGAACAGGCCUGGCCAAAGGGGAAGCUAGAGAUAGAGGAAAGAAUCAGAACAGGAUAAGGAAGUAAAACAGAUGGUGAAUCACUUCAGUAUCUAUUAUUUAUUGCCUUAUAAGAGACAAAGCACUAUGUUAUAACAAUAGCUGUUCACAGCCUACUCACCACCACAUGAUCCUUUGCUUCACUAACCCAAAUGCAUUUGCUUUUUAGAUUCUCAGGGUUUCCACAUUCAAAAUUACCUGGUAAAAAAGUCAAAGAGAAAUAAUGUUAUGAAAAAAAAGUCUUUCAACACUUCAGAAACACACUGAAGUGUCCGGGAACGCUAUCCUUCAAAGUUGGCUACACCUCCAAGCAAAAUGAUUACAAGAUAAGAUUUAUACUGUUGGCAGGUAAGAUUAUGACUCUUGAUAAAAUGCUCAGCCACUGCAUAUAGGUUGAAUAAGGGCAAUCAAACCUCGUGCUUCAAUGUGUGAGCUCCUCCACACAGAAUGAGGGGAAAAAUACUGUUGGAGUACAUAACCACCUCUCUGACCUAACACCCUACAGAAGGGCUCCUUCCAUGAGGUAUCAAAGACUGCAGUGUUGGAGUCAACGAUCAGCAUUCAAAAUGCUUUUAAGGAGCCUAAAUCACAGCUCUACUUUCCACCCAGGCAGAAGAAUGCUGGUGAGGAACAUCUAAAUCUUGCUUCACAAAGCUGACCAAGCAAAUAUGCUGAGAGACUGUGUAAAACUGAUGGAAAUUCUGCAGUCUGGUCUGAUCUGAAGAGAUUUAGAAAUUCUAUGAAGCUUAAGUAUCUAAAGACUUCAGCCUUGUUGAGGUCUGAAAUCUAGUAAAUGGAACUUAAGGACUUCUA